GCAAGUCGUGCGAGAAAGAUCUUCGGAUAUGAGUAGAGCGGCGGACUGGUGAGUAACGCGUAGGAAUCUACCUAGUAGAAGGGGAUAGCCCGGGGAAACUCGGAUUAAUACCGUAUACCUCCUUUGGGAGAAAGAAGGCCUCUCUUUGAAGCUUUCGCUACUAGAUGAGCCUGCGUAAGAUUAGCUUGUUGGUGAGGUAAAGGCUCACCAAGGCGACGAUCUUUAGCGGGUCUGAGAGGACGAUCCGCCACAUUGGGACUGAGACACGGCCCAGACUCCUACGGGAGGCAGCAGUGGGGAAUAUUGGACAAUGGGCGCAAGCCUGAUCCAGCCAUACCGCGUGUGUGAAGAAGGCCCUAGGGUUGUAAAGCACUUUAAGUUGGGAAGAAAAGUUAUUGGUUAAUACCCAAUGACCGUGACAUUACCUUCAGAAUAAGGACCGGCUAAUUCCGUGCCAGCAGCCGCGGUAAUACGGAAGGUCCAAGCGUUAAUCGGAAUUACUGGGCGUAAAGCGCGCGUAGGUGGUUUAUUAAGUUGGAUGUGAAAUCCCCGGGCUCAACCUGGGAACUGCAUCCAAAACUGAUUCACUAGAGUACGAUAGAGGGAGGUAGAAUUCACAGUGUAGCGGUGGAAUGCGUAGAUAUUGUGAAGAAUACCAAUGGCGAAGGCAGCCUCCUGGAUCUGUACUGACACUAAGGUGCGAAAGCGUGGGUAGCGAACAGGAUUAGAUACCCUGGUAGUCCACGCCGUAAACGAUGUCAACUAG
rnacentral:rRNA from 1 species